GUCGCCCAGCACCAACUCUGAGCCCAAACCACGCAAGACCAAGGCUGUGAACGGCUCCGAGAACGACCCUUUCCUCAAACCCAGCCUUCCUCAGCUGCUAACUUUAGCUGAGUACCAUGAGCAGGAGGAGAUCUUCAAACUGAGACUCGGCCAUCU